AAUACUCACCGUGCAUCGCACAGGAGAUCGUUCUAGUAUAUAUGAAACACUAGUUUUUGUUUCCGCCAAUUUUUCUCUUUCCUUCCACUAUGCAUUUUUCCACAUUUUCUCUCUCUUCUCUCUAUCACACGUUUUGUUUUUUUAACUAUUUUUUUCAUACAAUUUCUCUCUCUUCUACUCUCUCUUUCAUACUUGAGUGAUUUUCUUAAAAAAAAAUAAAAGAAAUUUUCUCAAUUUCUUCCAUGAAGAUGAUAUACAUGGUUAGUUAUUUGAAUUAUUUAUGUUCGCAGUAGUCCUUUUUCCCAACUGAUAUUUCGAAGGGAAAUAUUAUGUUCAUUUUGUUGUUUCAUCAAAUCUAUGUUCUCUAAAGUAUGAGUAAUGUGAUGAUUGUAGGUUGAAGAAAGAUAAGGAAUGUGAGGCAUUGUACAGGGAGAGAUUGCUAUAGAGUGAUAUGUGACUAGUGCAAUCAAGACUCUCGGUUCGCCUUAUGUCUAGUCCAACUAGAGCUUGAUUGUGUUAAUCUAGUUUUUUAGUUAUUACUAUUUCCAAUAAGAAAAUUCUUUGCAAAGGGAAAUAAGGGUUAAAAGGCACAUUACUUCAUCAAUUUCUAUUAUUCUUUCAAUCAAUAAUACAAUAUGUCUCGAGUAACUAUUCCACCAUAGACUUACCCGAGGCUGGGGAUGAAGUGACACUAUACGGAAGACCCUCUUAAUAUUUAUCUGGUUCCAAAGUCACAGAAAACAAAUAAUUCAAUAUUAAAACAGACAACCACCAUAAAAAACAUUAGCAUCAUUAAGCUCAAUAUCCAUGCAUCUCAAAGCAAUGAAAAGGAAGAGAAUGAUACAGUAAAGGGCCAUCUUAAGGGAACCAGAUAAAACUGGGAACCUAGGGCUAUCCGCAGACUGUUCACGACAUAGUUCCUGGUCAUUGUCCACAAAUUCCUCCAAUUUAUCCAACAAAUCCUCUGCCCGCUGAUUUUGGCUCUGUGGGUCUGAGGAAUCAAAUAUGUAGCCACAAGAAUUAUGACCGGCUACAAAGAAUUCAAAAAUGCAAGUAUCUGCAAAGAAAAAUCUCACAUUACGAGCUUUACAUAUUUCAUGGAAGUGGAAGCUACACUAACUCAGAAAAAGCAUAGAGUUUAAAACUGCUGCAAAGAAGACUCCAUUUAUAUAUCAAAUUUGCAAAUAAACCACAUAUCCAGAUUUUUUCAUGAAAGAUAUGAAACUACACUGAGUAAAGGAGAUUACAUGGGUCAAGAACUUGGAGAAAGAAAGCGUAGAUUGAGCCGACUUCCAAAAGAAUGGAUUCGUGUCAACUACAAAAUUCAAAUUGUUCAUCAGAAUAAGGUUAGAUAGAAUUUGCAAGCUGAAGGCAUACUUCCAAACUAGAGUGAAUGAUUUCUCAAUACACACAGAGAAGAAAAGAGGACCUGCAUAAAGCUUGGAUGAGACAUGGGUCAUCUUUCCCCUGUAAUCUGAAAUUUAAUAAAGGAAUGUAGCUUCAAGAAAAAAAAUUCAUAAAAUCAAUCAAAUACUUGAGAAAGUUUGAUAAAAUCAUAAAAGUUAAGGCGUCUCCAACCGAACGGCAUCUGUGCUUUGCAGUAAAAAAUAUGCUCCAACCGAACACUAACGGCAAAUGCUUUAAGCCUUCUUUUCAGUGUCUCGACAGUAGAAAUUUAUAUUUGUAAAAAGUUCGCAAUAGCCCCUGAUGUUGAGGGAUCGUUGUUGCUUUGGAGAUGGAAGUAAAUUAUGGCUCACAUUUAGGGCUUUAAGAAGUGAGGAAGAUAUGAAAUUGACCUUGAAUCGAACAAACAACAGCAGACAGCGGCCGGUGGCUGCUUACGAUGAGCGACACGCAUACCAGACUCAAGACGGCGUCGAUUUCACAGCGACGGUGACUACUGAAACGACGCGGCGACGACCGAUGAUUGUUGACAAUGAGCGACGGGUAGACCAGACACGAACGGCAAUAAUUCGGCAAAUAAAUUACUCCCUCUGUCCACAAUUUAAAGCCCUACUAGUCCUUAAAUUUUUGUCCACAAAUUGAAGCCCUAUUAUGCUUUUUUGUAUUUUUUUACUCUCCUUCUUUUCCUAUAUUUAUUACCCUUUUCUCACUUUUAUAUUCUAUAUUUACUACACUUUAUCACUAGUGGACUCAAAAGGCAAUAAAUAUUGAUGUGCACUCAAAAAUUUAUUGUAGAAUGAAAGUUUUCUCAAUUUCAUUACUAUUUGGAAUGUUAAUGUAACAUCAUUAUUAUCUUGAAUGUUAAUGUAACAUCAUGACUUAUUGCCGUUUGAGUGCACAUCAUUACUAUCCGGAAUGUUAAUGUAACAUGGAAGUUUUCUCAAUUUAUUCCAUGAAGAUGAUACACAUGGUUAGUUAUUUGAAUUAUUUAUGUUCGCAGUAGUCCUUUUUCUCAACUGAUAUUUCGAAGGGAUAUAUUGUGUUCAUGUCGUUGUUUCAUCAAAUCUAUAAUCUCUAAAGUAUGAGUAAUGCUAUGAUUUCAGCUAUUAUUCUUAUUUUGAUAAGGAAUGUGAUAAUUGCAGGUUGAAGAAAGAUAAGGAAUGUGAGGCAUUGGACAGGGAGAGAUUGCUACAGAGUGAUAUGUGAGUAGUGCAAUCAAGACUCUCGGUUCACCUUAUGUCUAAUCCAACUAGAGCUUGAAUGUGUUAAUCUAGUUUUUGAGUUAUUACUAUUUCCAAUAAGAAAAUUCUUCGCCAAGGGAAAUAAGGGUUGAAAGGCACAUUACUUCAUCAACUUCUAUUAUUCUUUCAAUCAAUAAUACAAUAUGUAUCGAGUAACUAUUCCACCAUAGACAACCCGAGGCUGGGGAUGAAGCGACACUGUACGGAAGACCCUCUGAAUAUCUAUCUGGUUCCAAAGUCACAGAAAACAAAUAAUUCAAUAUUAAAACAGACAACCACUACAAAAAACAUUAACAUCAUUAAGUUGAAUAUCCAUGCAUCUCAAAGCAAUCAAAAGGAAGAGAAGGAUACAACAAAGGGCCAUCUUGACGGAACCAGAUAAAAGUGAGAACCCAGGGCCAUCCGCAGACUGUUCACGACAUAGUUCCUGGUCAUCGUUCACAAAUUCCUCCAAUUUAUCCCGCAAAUCCUCUGCCCGCUGAUUUUAGCUUUGUGGGUCUGAGGAAUCAAAUAUGUAGCCAUAAGAAUUAUAACCAGCUGCAAAGAAUUCAAAAAUGCAAGUACAUGCAAAGAAAAAUCCCACAUUACCAGCUUUACAUAUUUCAUUGUAGUGGAGGCUACACUAACUCAGCAAAAGCAUAGAGUUUAAAACUACUGCAAAGCAAACUCCAUUUAUAUAUCAAAUUUGCAAAUAAAGCACAAAUCCAUAUUUUUUUAUGAAAGAGAUGAAACUACACUGAGUAAAGGAGAUUACAUGGGUCAAGAACUUGGAGAAAGAAAACGUGGAUUGAGCCGACUUCCAAAAGAAUGGUUUUGUGUCAAUUAGUACCAACAACAGGCUCACAUCAUUUGCAAAAUUCAAAUUGUUCAUAAGAGUAAGGUCCGAUAGAAUUUGCAAGCUGAAGGCAUACUUCAAAAAUAGAGUGAAUGAUUUCUCAAUACACACAGAGAAGAAAAGAGGACCUGCAUAAAGCUUGGAUGAGACAUGGGUCAUCUUUCCUCUAUUAUCUGAAAUUUAAUGAAGGAAUGUUGCUUCAAGAAAAAAAAAAUCAUAAAAUCAAUCACAAGCUUGAGAAAGUUUGAUAAAAUCAUAAAAGUUAAGGCGUCUCCAACCGAACGGCAUCUGAACUUUGCAGUCAAAAAUCUGCUCCAACCGAACACUAAAGGCAAACGCUUUAAGCCUUCUUUUCAGUGUCUCAACAGUGAAAUUCAUAUUUGUAAAAAGUUGGCAAUAGCCCGCCCCUGAUGUUGAUGGAUUGUUGUUGCUUUGGAGAUGGAAGUAAAUUAUGGCUCACACUUUAGGAAGUGAGGGAGAUAUGAAAUUGACCUUGAAUCGAACAAACAAUAGGAGACGGCGGCCGGUGGCUGCUGAUGAUGCCCGACACGCAUACCAGACACAAGACGGCGUCGAUUUCACAGCGACGGUGACUACUAAAACGACACGGCGGCGACCGGUGGCUGUUGACAGUGAGCGACAGGUAGACCAGACACGAACUGUAAUAAUUCGGCAAAUAAAUUACUCCCUCUGUCCACAAUUUAAAGCCCUACUUGCCCUUAAAUUUUUGUCCACAAAUUGAAGCCCUAUUAUGCUUUUUUGUAUUUUCCUACUCUCCUUCUUUUCCUAUAUUUAUUACUCUUUUCCAUUAAUGGAUCCACCUUAAAAUACCUUUAUAACUUUUAUAUUCUAUAUUUACUACACUUUAUCACUAGUGGACUCAAAAGGCAAUAAGUAAUGAUGUGCACUCAAAAAUUUAUUGUAAAAUGGAAGUUUUCUCAAUUUCAUUACAAUUUGGAAUGUUAAUGUAACAUCAUUAUUAUCUUGAAUGUUAAUGUAACAUCAGGACUUAUUGCCUUUUGAGUGCACAUCAUUACUAUCUGGAAUGUUAAUGUAACAUGGAAGUUUUCUCAAUUUCUUCCAUGAAGAUGAUACAUAUGGUUAGUUAUUUGAAUUAUUUAUGUUCGCAGUAAUCCUUUUUCCCAACUGAUAUUUCGAAGGGAUAUAUUGUGUUCAUUUCGUUGUUUCAUCAAAUCUAUAAUCUCUAAAGUAUGAGUAAUGCUAUGAUUGCAGAUAUUAUUCUUAUUUUGAUAAGGAAUGUGAUGAUUGCAGGUUGAAGAAAGAUAUGGAAUGUGAGGCAUUGGACAGGGAGAGAUUGCUACAGAGUGAUAUGUGAGUAGUGCAAUCAAGACUCUCGGUUUACCUUAUGUCUAGUCCAACUAGAGCUUGAUUGUGUUAAUCUAGUUUUUUAGUUAUUACUAUUUCCAAUAAGAAAAUUCUUCGCAAAGGGAAAUAAGGGUUAAAAGGCACAUUACUUCAUCAACUUUUAUUAUUCUUUCAAUCAAUAAUACAAUAUGUCUCGAGUAACUAUUCCACCAUAGACUUAC
rnacentral:lncRNA from 1 species